rnacentral:rRNA from 1 species
GUGCCAGCAGCCGCGGUAAUACAUAGGGGUCAAGCGUUGUCCGGAUUUAUUGGGCGUAAAGAGCUCGUAGGCGGUUCAACAAGUCGGUCGUAAAAGUUUAGGGCUCAACCCUAAAAUGUCGAUCGAUACUGUUGUGACUAGGAUACGGUAGAGGUGAAUGGAAUUCCAAGUGUAGCGGUGAAAUGCGUAGAUAUUCGGAGGAACACCAAUUGCGAAGGCAGCUCACUGGGCCGCUAUCGACGCUGAGGAGCGAAAGCUAGGGGAGCAAACGGGAUUAGAUA